rnacentral:lncRNA from 1 species
AUCCGUCACCAAUUUAAGAUUUGUCCUGCACCUAAGGUUUAAAUUGAUUUGACGUCUCCAUGAGGCUAUUUGAUGUGACUUAUCAACUUUAUGCCAAAUCAACUCGGGGGAAACAAACUGUCCGCCCACUCUACAAGCGCGGCUGAUUGACGCCUAUGAGCAGACGCUUCAUACCGUCAGAUGUACACACGCGUUCCACAUCCAGCAGUUCAUACCACCUAUAAAUACCCAAGGUUUGGCAAGAGGCAAAGGUAAUGAAACUCUCAAUACAUAGCAUUCCAUAACAAGUUUAUAUAUUCUCCUCCCCCUUUAUUGAUUGAUUUGUGUAGCCCCUGGGCACUGUUCCGACCACCCAAACCUGACUUGACCGUCGGAGUGUAUACGGCCGCCACCACCCCCGUCGGUUCCGGCCGUGUGCGCCUGACCGUUUGUUCAUUUCGCAGGGAGGAAUACGUGGAGUAGCUAUAAGUUGGCCACGUGGAGGAGCCAUUUUUGGAGGUCAACAGUUUGGCGCCGUCUGUGGGAAACUCACUCCCCAUUUGAAGUUUUGCGUUCCCCAUCGGAGAAGACACCGGAAAACCGGCGACUGACCCUGAAAAGGGGGCAUUCUUGAAAAAGAACAAAGUCGAAUUACAAUCCAAGUUCUUACUACCCUUGAAAAGAGAGGUAGGAUGAGCUACAGCCGU